UACGUAGGGCGCAAGCGUUAUCCGGAAUUAUUGGGCGCAAAGAGCUCGUAGGUGGUUUGUCGCGUUGUUCGUGAAAACCGGAGGCUCAACCUCUGGCGUGCGGGCGAUACGGGCAGACUUGAGUACUGCAGGGGAGACUGGAAUUCCUGGUGUAGCGGUGGAAUGCGCAGAUAUCAGGAGGAACACCGGUGGCGAAGGCGGGUCUCUGGGCAGUAACUGACGCUGAGGAGCGAAAGCGUGGGGAGCGAACAGG
rnacentral:rRNA from 1 species